CCUACGGGAGGCAGCAGUAGGGAAUAUUGGGCAAUGGACGAGAGUCUGACCCAGCCAUGCCGCGUGCAGGAAGACGGCGUUCUGCGUUGUAAACUGCUUUUAUCUGGGAAGAAAAGGCCCCUGCGGGGGACAUUGCCGGUACCAGAUGAAUAAGCACCGGCUAACUCCGUGCCAGCAGCCGCGGUAAUACGGAGGGUGCAAGCGUUGUCCGGAUUUAUUGGGUUUAAAGGGUGCGUAGGCGGCUAUUUAAGUCAGUGGUGAAAGACCCCGGCUCAACCGGGGCAGUGCCAUUGAUACUGGACAGCUUGAGUAUUGGAGGGGUACAUGGAAUUGACGGUGUAGCGGUGAAAUGCAUAGAUACCGUCAGGAACACCGAUAGCGAAGGCAUUGUACUGGCCAAUAACUGACGCUGAUGCACGAAAGCAUGGGUAGCGAACAG
rnacentral:rRNA from 1 species